GAAAGGUGGAAACAUUUCAUUCAGCUAUUCCACUCACGACUUUUCUCUCUCCAAAUAACAAAACCUUGUUUCCAAAACCCUUGAUUCAGCUCUCUCAAAACCUUAGAUUCACUCACGCCGUCGAAUACCAAAACACAACCACGAACUCUCUCAAAACCUUCGAUUCACUCUCGCCGUCGAACACUAAAACCCAACCACGAAGUCUUCUCCCUCCGUCAACUUUUCACAAUCGAUUCAUCGAUUCACCGUCGGAAAGAGGAAACAUGAUCGAUUCACUAUCAAUUGUAUCCUAAUUCAGAUUCAAUUCUAAUUCACCACUCGAACAUAAAGAGGAAACACAAAAACAUUAUAGAGAUCAAAACCCAUUCUUCGUCGAACUCAGCACUUCGUCAGCUCACCACCGUCGUAUAUGGUAUGCUUUAAAACACUUGAAGUUGGAUAAAUGAAAGAAAUACUGAGUAUCGCUUUCCUUUUUAAUAAGCUGCAAAGGAGUUCAAAAUUGUGUUAUUAGUCUGGCGCGAAAGAAAAAUCUCGAUCAUCUAGAUGACACCUCUCAAUUUACUCAGGCAGACAGUUCCUUUAAAGGAGAAUCUACUUCGCCCCCACCUAGUGAACAUCGUAAAAGUAAUCAUCACUCCGGGCCAGGUUCACAUACUAAAACACAAUGUUCUAAUUCUGAUGGCUAUAAAGGAGAAUCUGUGGGAGCCAUUGUAGAAAUUUUUUUAGACUUAGUGUUGGCGUGUUCUAUUCUGCUAGUUGCUCUUGUUUUUGUAUCUGAAAAAUAAAAGGGAAAGAAAAAGGUCCAAGAACUUAUAAUGGAAGCCUUCCUCCUGGAGGAAUUGUUAACGUAACUUCUCAGAUGCAGGAGCAGAGGGUGAAAAGUGCUUAUGUUAUUACAGAUCUUAAACCCCGUCCUCCUUCAGAAAACGUGACAAUGGAUAGGAUGCCUGCAAAAAGUGGAUCUGUAAGGCAGAUGAGGUCUCCAAUAAAUUCCCUGUCGUACACGGUUACUUCCCUCUAGAGUGCAACUAAUAGCUUCAGCCAAGAGUUUAUUAUCCGUGAAGGUUCUCUUGGUCGAGUUUACCGGGCUGAAUUUCCAAAUGGGAAGAUAAUGUCCGUUAAGAAGAUUGACAACGCAACACUGUCCUUACAAGAGGAAGGUAAUUUUCUUGAAGCUAUUUCGAAUAUGUCACGCUUGCGGCGUCCAAAUGUUGUUACACUGGCUGGACAUUGUGCAGAACAUGGCCAACGACUUCUAGUUUAUGAACAUAUUGGAAAUGGAAAUUUGCACGACAUGCUCCAUUUUGCUGAAGAUAGCAGUAAAGCUUUACCUUGGAAUGCCUGUGUGCGGAUAGCUCUUGGCAGUGGCACAGCCCGGACCUUAGAGAAAAGAAGAAGCAGUUAUUUUGCCUAGCUAAGUGAUUGUAUUUGAGAGUUCGGCGCUUUUGGUUCGUGAAGUGUGGAUACUACUUGGUCCUGUUUUGUUGUCCUUAUAUUUUUAGGUGUUUUGUUUAGAGAAAAGGAUUGUUUGCUUUAGGAUUGAAGUACUCUUAGUUGGAAUUAAUGCAUGCAUAUACAAAUUUGGCUAUGCAAAUGCCCUCCUUUUUUAGUACAUUAAAAUAUUAUGAUAUUUGUAAACAAGUGGAUUUGUGUACAGCAAAAAAAAUAAAAAUAAAGGUGUAUUAUAAUAGCAUUUCAUAGAGAUUGCUAUUAAUGAAGACAUCCUAUGAUAGCACUUUUAAGAGAAAGGGCUAUCAAACACAUGUCAUAUAUUAGCGCUCUGUUUGAAAGUGCUAUCAAACAUGUGUCAUAUAUUAGCGUUUUGUUUUAGAGUGCUAUCAAAUAUGUGCUAUAUAAUAGCAAUUUUUUUGAAAGUGCUAUCAAACACGGGCCCUAUAAUAGCAUUUUGUUUGAAAGUGCUAUCAAAAUCAAAUAAAAAUGUACUAUAAAGCGCAAAAAAACUCCACUUCAAUAGCGUUUUAGUGAAAAUGCUAUUAAAAACGGGCACAUUAAUAGCGCUUUUAAAGUGCUAUUAAACAAAAUCAUUUACAAUAGCGGCGCAGUUAAUAGCACUUUUAAGUGCUAUCAAAAACAAAAGAAAGUGCUAUUAAAUAGCUUUUAUGGCAUAGUGAAAGUGACAAGCAACAAGGUUUAGAAGAGGAUGUACCCUCCAUAAUAAAGUGUAGUAGACCAUUGAGCCAUGUGACAUUAAACGUAGCGCUUCGUGGGAGGCAACCCACGCUUUUAAAAAUGCAGUUUUCUUUUUGUGUUUGUUUUGUUUGGUUUUCAGGA